ACGACCUUACUUGAACAGGAUCUGUUCUAUAGGCUCGUACUUCUGUUUCCUUGAGUUCUAAGGAGACAGGAACCUACGUCUGGUGGAUGAAUCAUGACCGAUUGAUCAGAGCGUGAUUAACGGCUCGGUGAACUCUCUCUGAGGAGGAAGCUCACCUUGGGCUGUGGAGGAUCGUUCUCAAGCAGUUUCGAUUGCCUGGGAUGGUCAUUCGGUUGUCUGACAGACC